rnacentral:rRNA from 1 species
UGCCAGCCGCCGCGGUAAUACAUAGGGGUUAAGCGUUGUUCGGAAUUACUGGGCUUAAAGAGUUCGUAGGUGGUUGAAAAAGUUGGUGGUGAAAUCCCAGAGCUUAACUCUGGAACUGCCAUCAAAACUUUUCAGCUAGAGUUUGAUAGAGGAAAGCAGAAUUUCUAGUGUAGAGGUGAAAUUCGUAGAUAUUAGAAAGAAUACCAAUUGCGAAGGCAGCUUUCUGGAUCAUUACUGACACUGAGGAACGAAAGCAUGGCUGGCGAAGAGGAUUAGAUA